GUGCUCACUUUGGCAGCACAUUUACUAAAGUUGGAAUAAUACAGAGAAGAUUAGCAUGGCCCCUGGGCAAGUAUUUCACUCAAAUUCAUGAAAUGAUCCAUAGGUUU
ensembl:snRNA U6 U6 spliceosomal RNA